UGGGGAAUCUUGCACAAUGGGCGAAAGCCUGAUGCAGCGACGCCGCGUGGGGGAUGAAGCUUUUCGGAGUGUAAACCCCUUUCGACCCGGACGAAUGCCUCGCAAGAGGACUGACGGUACGGGUAUAAGAAGCCCCGGCUAACUACGUGCCAGCAGCCGCGGUAAGACGUAGGGGGCCAGCGUUGCUCGGAAUUACUGGGUGUAAAGGGUUCGUAGGCGGUGUGGCAAGUCGGGAGUGAAAUCUCUGGGCUCAACCCAGAGUCUGCUUCCGAAACUGCUGUGCUUGAGUGUGGGAGAGGCGCGUGGAAUUGCAGGUGUAGCGGUGAAAUGCGUAGAUAUCUGCAGGAACACCCGUGGCGAAAGCGGCGCGCUGGACCACUACUGACGCUGAGGAACGAAAGCUAGGGGAGCAAACAGGAUUAGAUACCCUGGUAGUCCUAGCCCUAAACGAUCAGGACUUGGGGUGCCGCCCGUUCGGGCGUCGUCCCGGAGCUAACGCGUUAAGUCCUGCACCUGGGGAGUACGGUCGCAAGACUG
rnacentral:rRNA from 1 species